GUUUGUGAGGGGUGAAGGGCAGGUUCUGGAAGUGUGCCCUGACUGUGGACACGAGAAGGACGUUGGCCACCAGCUGCUGUGGAAAGGAAAGAAGUUGUUGCCGGCCAGCCCCCAGGGCAUGUCUCACCUGCUGCAGCUUUGCUUUCCUGGGAUCCACAAGAGUCCUCUCCAUUUUCAGAGGUGUUGGCCUCACACCCCCAUUUCAAUAUUGAGAACAAAGCCAUACUGAGUCUGUGGAAGUGGUGAAUUAAUUGGGCAUAUUAUGGAGGACAGUUUGGCUGUCAUUUAAUCCUCUACCUCCUCGGAGAGAGGCCGACAGAGGAGCAAUGGGAAAGUUCAAGCCUUUCUCUGGCUCGUGGUACUUGUUUAAUUUUAAACAGAUGAUGGGCGGGAGGGGUCUCCUCAAGGCUGGGUGGGGCU